rnacentral:rRNA from 1 species
UACGGAGGAUCCGAGCGUUAUCCGGAUUUAUUGGGUUUAAAGGGUGCGUAGGCGGCCUUGUAAGUCAGGGGUGAAAGACGGUAGCUUAACUAUCGCAGUGCCUUUGAUACUGCAGGGCUUGAAUGUACUUGAGGUAGGCGGAAUAUGUCAUGUAGCGGUGAAAUGCUUAGAUAUGACAUAGAACACCAAUUGCGAAGGCAGCUUACUACACAACGAUUGACGCUGAGGCACGAAAGCGUGGGGAUCAAACAGG